UACGUAGGGGGCAAGCGUUGUCCGGAAUUAUUGGGCGUAAAGAGCGUGUAGGCGGCCAGAUAAGUCCGCUGUGAAAUCUCGAGGCUCAACUUCGAGCUGUCGGUGGAAACUGUCUGGCUAGAGUCCGGAAGAGGAGAAUGGAAUUCCUGGUGUAGCGGUGAAAUGCGCAGAUAUCAGGAAGAACACCCGUGGCGAAGGCGGUUCUCUGGGACGGUACUGACGCUGAGACGCGAAAGCGUGGGGAGCGAACCGG
rnacentral:rRNA from 1 species